GCCCGGCGCCCCGGGCUAUCCACGCCCCUUCGGCCCGGCCGGACGCGGGGGCGGACGGGGCGUGGUUGGUGGGCGGGGC
rnacentral:pre_miRNA from 1 species